rnacentral:tRNA from 1 species
UAGCUCAGUUGGUAGAGCAUGGUGUUUGCAACGCCAGGGUUGUGAGUUCGAUUCCCAC